CUUAUAUCUUAAAUAUUCAGAAAUAAUGAGUUCACAAACUAGAUGGAAUAAUUUCUAUACGUUCGUCUUAGUCGGGAAAUAUAAAUGUAUAAAGAAGUCCGUCCAUGCUUUUGUAUGCCCGUCUGUCAACAGUAGUAAAUGAGUUCGUUACAGCAAACUUCUGAAAUUGACGCGAAAAAAAAACCACACACAUAUAGUCUGAUAUAGUCAAAUACUCUGUAGUUAGCC
rnacentral:lncRNA from 1 species